AUACGUAGGUGGCAAGCGUUGUCCGGAAUUAUUGGGCGUAAAGCGCGCGCAGGUGGUUCCUUAAGUCUGAUGUGAAAGCCCACGGCUCAACCGUGGAGGGUCAUUGGAAACUGGGGAACUUGAGUGCAGAAGAGGAAAGUGGAAUUCCGAGUGUAGAGGUGAAAUUCGUAGAUAUUCGGAGGAACACCAGUGGCGAAGGCGACUUUCUGGUCUGUAACUGACACUGAGGCGCGAAAGCGUGGGGAGC
rnacentral:rRNA from 1 species